AAUAACAUGGUGAGGGCGGGGGUAUCCCUAGGAGAGUGAAAGAGAAACAGAAAGACAGGAGACACGAGAGAGAUAGGAGACAAGAGAAAUGAAGAGAGGGUGGGGGGAUGAAUUUAUUCUUGCUAAAGGAUCUGCACAUUUCGAAACCUGGAUGUAACCUUCAGACAUGUUCAGAAUCUUUGUACCGCGGUGACCUGGAUGACCAAUCUCUCUCAUCCUCGGUAGGAGACGUCAUAUGGCGGCAUCCGUGGCGCUGAUGAGGGUCUGGCUUACGACAAACGGAUAUGGUCCCUGGUCUUAGCACGAGCUACCGCAAAGGUAGCUAUGGACCGAAAAUCCGAAAAUAAAGUGGGAUCAACCCGACACACAGAUAGUCCCUAGCAUCCAGCUAUCGCGCCAUUGGAUGAGGACACACUGGAGCUAUCGCAUUUCUUAGCCAAGCUCAGUAAAGAACUGAAAACAGGAAAGGAAGAGGCUAAAGGUGAGAUAAACAAAGCAAGUUAAAUAAAAGUUGCGGAAACAGCAAAUCUGAGACAAUACCUCAUGUAAUUUCGUUCUAUUACCAUGCAGUAGACUGUUAUCAACAACGUUGGUGACAAUGACCGAGCAGUCCGAGCUAACUGGCGCUGAACAAUGAAUGAACAUGAUCUGUUAAGGGCGUUAUUUCGACACUCCCCGAUUCUCUUCCUCCCCCUUUUCUUUGGCGGGCCAGUGAACCAUGACUGUGGCCGAGGUUGUCUGGAUGCGCGUGACAGGAAAGAGGAGCGGGCGGUGGGUUGGGGAAAGUGAGGGGCUGCUGACCUGUCGCCUUUUGUCAUACAAACUUCGGCAGGUGGACGGAAAUGAAAGCACGUGACCAAGAAAGAAUCGCAUCACCAAACACCGCAUCACCUGUCCCUUGACCCUCUCCAUCUUCGGGUUAUAGCUUCGCCGAAAUGUGCUAACAGUUUUUUUUUCCGGUGAAGAAUUUCUCUUAACUCUUGGUCAGAAGGCUAACAGAUUUAAAUUGUAACUACUCCUUUUGCUCGUAUUAGUCGAACCGUGUGAAACAGCGUUAACAGGAAUCUUGUAGGAAGUUACAGGGAUUUCUAGCCAUGCGUCUUUGUCCACAAACUUAGCACAUUAAGGCCUAGUUACAACAGCAUGAGCAAUUAAUUUUUUAACAAGUACGAAAAUUCGUAGCAAAAUCAGUCUUGGAUGUCACGGCACUUGUUUAAACCAAAGAUCAUGCGAUCCAAGAUUGUACACUCCUUCAAAACUCGCCUGGAUUCAAUGACGUCUUGUCCGUUGUAAUCGCCCGUUAUUUUCACUUUCCAGGGGUGAACUAUGCUGACACUCAUGCCCAAAUGGGAUCUUAAUUCGACAAACCUUUCUGCCGGUUUAAAUGAUUAUCCAACCCGCUAUACACUGAACUGAUAUAUCUCCUUAGUAAGCAUAGUAUAGCAACUUGACUGAGCCGACACUGCCAACAGACAUAGGGCAAAGUGCAAACCUGUUUCCAUACUCGUCGAAUGUUACCACACCAACCUCGGCACUGUCAAAACAAAACAAACAACCCCCCCCCCAAAAAAAACAAAACAACAACAACCCAAAACAAAACAAAACAUAAAAACAACGACGUAGUAACUAGAACAAGAGAGAGGAAAACAAACUUUUGGUUGGUCAGGGCAAAACAAAGUCGACGGGGAGGGAAGGGGAGCCAAAGACUGGGUCGACUUAUGCCGACGUCCAUGGUGUGUAAGUCUGAGAAUUGUGGACCAAACUCGAGAACACCUUGCACUGCGGGUCGUACGUGACAAAGUCUGGCGUGGAGAAGCCAGUCAAGCCGUCAGCCCUAUUGAAUCUGUUGACUUCACAAGUGUUUACAUUCUCAUCCCUCCUAGGUGUCCUUUGUACGAGGCGGGGCCAAGAAAAGAAAGUGGUUGGGUGGAGCAAGGUCACAAUAUUUCAAGGUGUACCGGUGAAUGUUAACAUAAAGUAAACUGAUAAUUUCGUAAUCCAACAGACGUAUUUCUAAAUCUUUCUUUUUUCAGUCCUAUACUGAAUCUGAUGUUACUGGAUAAACAGAUAUUGUGCUGGAGUCGAAAACUCCGGUACAGGACUGUAAAUGCACGCGAAACCCAAAAGGAAAUCAAGAAUUCACAGAUGGCUAGCUACAAACUUACAGCUCCACGUAACACAUGUUACUAGUGUCCACCUGUUUAGCAGAGCUCUUUACACUUACCUGACUACGGUGACAUUUUCUCGUAAUCCACCUGAAUGGCAAUCCGGCAGCGAGACAUACGAGGGCCUGGCACACUGGCUGACAUUCCCUGUAUAGUGUAGGUGUGAGUACAUCUGGGACCCUCACCUCACCAGGAACCCAAUCUCCACUUGGGCCUGGCACAUAGUAGCGAUCCCCCCGCUCUGCUCUGCCUCCCCUCCUAAGGUCUCACUGCUUGGUCCUAUUCAAAGUCAGCUGGUGGAAAACAACGAAGGUAAGGCCGUCCUCCACCCCCAAGCGCCCUGCUAUCCUUUUCUCAGUUUACCAAAAGUGAAAUGGCAAUACUAGGAAGAAAUUAAGGUGUAGAAGAAUCGCCACUGCUACCCCUGCACUUGACUGAGUAGUUCUUGUAUUUCUCACAUUAUGCUUCCCAACGCGCAUGCAUGAGUGCGGACACCCGCAUUCAAGAGGACAGCUAGGCAACAUUCCAUUAGCAGCAUUGAUUAUAUCAUCAAAAUCGUGACAGAAAAUACAUGUCAAAGGAGAUCAAUAAAUCCUCAAACAGGAACUGACAAGUUUUAACAGCUUAUAGUUGGCGUACAUUCGGAUACAGAAAAAAAAAUUUAACCCUAAAAUCCAAACCGCCGCUUUAAUGCAAACCGAUACACAUUCAUAACCACCGUCACAGAAUAAGGCGACACUAGGUCAGGUAUUUUUGUGAGCACUUGAAGUGAGUAUUUUUUGGUGGCGAAAAUGUGUCUCUCAGUGACAUGCAGGCCAGACGAAAAGAAGGGACAGGUGUCUGGUGUACCCGGGCACGGCGCUGUGAAGGAGGCCCGGUCUUGCAUGUUUCAGACCAUCACAAUCCAAUGAAAUGGCAGAAAACUGUUUCAUUCAGAACGCUGGAAUGAAUCAAGCUGACAUACUCCAGAUUACAAGUAACUGACUCCGUCAUGUGGUGCCACAUGUGACUGACUGCCUAACAGAGGUGUGUCAAUGGAUUAACUGCCCCACAAAGUACACAUAUCAAGUAGCUUCCUCCCAAAGUACAUGUCAAGUAAGUGACUGAUUCACAAAGAAAUUGUCAAAUAACUGUCCCAUAGUGCCAGAAAUGUUUCAUCUAGAUUAUAAUUCAACUAAGUAGAGCCCACUCAAUAGUCAAGCUAUAAAACUGACAACUGGUAUAAACACUGUUUGCUUGCAAGAGUAGCAGGGUAAAUAUACAACCACUAGGAGAUCACUGUACUUGUACUUGCUCCUUCUAUUGAUCUUAAGUUCCUUAGCAAACUAUAGUAAAACAAAUUUUUUAAAAAGUUAACACAGACCCAGCUGUAGAUUUUCCCCUCAGAUAUUUAUAGCUAAGGGCUUAUUACUUUGGGAAAGUGUGAUACUGGUCAAAGUCCAAAUAAAAGAAAUAAAUAAGAGUGAGAUAAAACAGAUCAAUAUCAUCACUUGCAAACAUCCUUAUUGUUGAUAAGUAUAUAUAUAUUUGCUUUCUGGAUAGACCAAGUACAGAAGAGGCAAAAUCUUUUUUCUUAAAAAAUUCCCAAAUCAUUUGCUAAGCAUAAAUGCAUGUGAUUUAACAUCUAAGGGCGUACAUACACCAGGUAACUUGUAACAAUGCCUUUUGGACCACUUUAUUUGAAGCCUGCUCUUAUUACCUGCCAUGGUUCUCCUGGAUGUAAAGACUGAGGUCUUGCUUCAUAGAAAGUGAAAGUGAGCAUAAUAUAGUACGUAAGUGAAAAUAGAAUAGGUUCUUGUGUGCUGGAAAUAACUGACCGAUUCUGAGAUAGACUUUUACCUACAAUCACGCUUCACACGCACUUAGACACUGAUCGAGUGUGACGCCAAUUGACCACCACUGUCACCUGACCUGUAUGUUUUGAAACCUGAAUUUCGUGACAGUCUUGGACUUAAACUGUCGAGGCGGAGAUCGUCCCACAGAGGGGCGUAUCCAUGCGGUUAUCAGUUAGAACUGUCGGUUGCAUCAAACAAUGCAAAGCUUCGAUCGAGCAGUUAAGAAA
rnacentral:lncRNA from 1 species